rnacentral:rRNA from 1 species
UACGAAGGGGGCUAGCGUUGUUCGGAAUUACUGGGCGUAAAGGGCGCGUAGGCUGUGCUGUAAGUCAGGCGUGAAAGCCCCGGGCUCAACCUGGGAAUUGCGCUUGAUACUGCGGCGCUGGAAGGUGGGAGAGGAUGGCGGAAUUCCCAGUGUAGAGGUGAAAUUCGUAGAUAUUGGGAAGAACACCGGUGGCGAAGGCGGCCAUCUGGCCCAUUUUUGACGCUGAGGCGCGAAAGCGUGGUGAGCAAACAGG